CAGCAGCCGCGGUAAUACGAAGGGGGCUAGCGUUGCUCGGAAUGACUGGGCGUAAAGGGCGCGUAGGCGGUGAGUUAAGUCUGCUGUGAAAUCCCCGGGCUCAACCUGGGAAUGGCAGUGGAUACUGGCUCGCUAGAGUGUGUCAGAGGAUGGUGGAAUUCCCGGUGUAGCGGUGAAAUGCGUAGAGAUCGGGAGGAACAUCAGUGGCGAAGGCGGCCAUCUGGGACAACACUGACGCUGAGGCACGAAAGCGUGGGGAGCAAACAGGAUUAGAUACCCGAGUAGUCCCUGUCUCUUAUAC
rnacentral:rRNA from 1 species